ensembl:lncRNA AHI1-DT AHI1 divergent transcript
GCCGUUCCCAUGGCGACCGAUGCGUCCCGCGCUCUAGGCGAAGACCGCGGCCCCGUCCCCGCGCCUCCACCGCCUUCUUCCAGGAGGAGGGGCCGUGCGGCGCCUGCCCGGGGGCCCUCAGGCCGCAGGCGGGCGCGAGCUUCAGGGAACUUAGGGGGCUCCCGCCUCCCCGGCCACGCGAGCGGGAACAGUCUCCUCCACUCGGAGCGCCACUCAUCAUGCCUUACCUGGAUGAUGCAGAAGUCCCUGGAAACAGAAGGUCUCACCCUUCUUUAUCUUUCUCAUGGCUUUCCAAGGCUCUUUAUCAUGUUACUUUCCUGCUCAGAAUUCUUUAAUGACUUGCCUCAAUGACCAGAUACAUGUGAUCUACAGUCAGCCUUCCAGCCUCAUCAUUCCUCUUCCAUUUCCUCCCCAGAAACACUGUACUUUAUGAAGCUCCUCCAAGACAUUAUAGAUCCAGACUCCUGUGCCUGACCACUGCCCAUGGCCAACUCUCUGCUGAUGACUGGACUUGACUACACAAGUUGUUGGGUACUUUGACUAGAACACCAACCAAGUCAUUGGAAAUAUAAUGCUUUGUUCUUUCUAGCUCCAAGAUAUGAACAUGUGACAACCCAAACAAACAAAAUCCCAACAAGGUUGUCAGAUAUGCAAAUUACAGUUGACCCUUGAACAACAGAGAGGGUAGAGGUGCUGAUCACUGGCACAGUUGAAAAUUCAAAAGUUUUGACUCCCCUAAAACUUAAUUACUAAUAACCUACUGUUGACUAGAAGCCUACUGAUAAUAUAAACGAUUUAUUAACACAUAUUUUAUAUGUUAUAUGUAUUAGGUACUGUAUUAUAAUAAAGUAAGCUAGAGCAAAGAAAAUGUUAUGGAUAAAAUCAUAAGAAAGAGAAAAGAUAUUUACUCUCCAUUGAAUAGAAAUGGCUCAUCAUAAAGAUCUUCAUUCUCACCAUCUUCAAAUUGGGUAGGCUGAAGAGGAGCAAUAAGAGAAGGGGUUGGUCUUGCCAUCUCAGGUGUGGCAGAGACGGAAAACAAUCCACGUAUAAAUAUGGACCCAUGUAGUUCAAACCUGUGUUGUUCAAAGGUCAACUGUAUUUACUUUAAAUUACUUGUCUGACCUGAGAUUUUCCUGACCAUAAUCCAAGAGAUUGACACCUUUCUAAAGUUUGUUCUUAUGUUUUCCAAAAUGACAACUUGUUUUCCAGAAGUUAGCAGCCACCAUGUUUUAAGACAGAAACAGCCUGAGGUUCUCCCAAGGUCUAUUGAGCAUAAGAGUUUUUUGCCUUCUAGUAAAAUAAACCCAUAUUCGCAGAGUGUCUGGACCAGAAAAUCUUCCACAUUAUCCUGUGUUCAAGUAUUAGGAUUGUGCAAUACAUUUCUUAGAAGAAUUCUGCCUACUACUCAUGCAAACACCAAACAGGACAAAUACAAAGGCGACCACAUCUAGACAUGUCAUAUUCAAACUGCUGAAAACUAACAACAAAAAACAAAUCUUAGAAGGAAAAGAAACCUCGCAUGGGGAAACAAUGAUCUAAAUGAUAGCCAACUUUGCAGGCCAGAAGACAGUGAAAUGAUACCUUUGCAGUACUGAAUGAAAGACAAAGUCAACAUAGAAUUCUAUGUCCAAUAAAAAUAUCCUAAAAAAGAAGGCAAAAUAAAAACAUUUCUAGUAGGCAAAAGCUGAGAGCACUAGUCUUUGGUAGAUUUGUACUACACAAAAUGCCAUAAGGAGGUUUUCAGGCUGAAGAAAAAAAUACCAGUUGCAACCUAAAUGAAGCAUGAAGAGUACUAGAAACAGCGAAGAUUAAAGACUAUUUUAACAUCUUUAUUUUUAAUACAUAUGUACCUAUAAAUUUUAACUUCUUCAAAAAAUUGACUUUUUAAGAUAUAAAUAAUAACAAUGUAUUGAGCUGCAGCAUAUGUAGAAGUAAAAUGUGGGAAAAUAACAGCACAAGGACCAGAAGCAUAGAUACAUAGAAUUAUAUAUUUACCAGGUUCUUACAUUGUUUGUGAAGUAAUAUAAUAUUAUUUUAAUGUAGAUUGGGAUAACUUAAAGGUAUAUAUCUUUAAGAUAUCAUAUAUUCUAUAUAUCAUAUAUAUCUUUAAGAUAUCAUAUAUUCUAUACUGAGCAAUCUAUAAAAAACAAAGAAGCAUAUCUAAAAAUUCAAUGGAUGAGAUUAAAUUAAAUACUAAAAACUACUCUAUUAACCCAAAAUAAGACAAGAAAAAAGGGAUGAAAUGAGAGACAAAUUUUGCAAAUAGAAAAUCAAUGGUAGGUUAUAACCCAAUCAUAUUAAUAAUUACACUGAAUAUAAAUGAACUAAGCGCUCACCCCAAAAAAAGUGAUUGUCAGAUAGGAAAAAAGAAAAACCUAUCUAUAUGCUCUUUAUAAGAAACAUAUUUAAGACAGGGUGCAGUGGCUCGCGCCUGUAAUCCCAGCACUUUGGGAGGCUGAGGCAGGCAGAUCACGAGGUCAGGAGUUUGAGACCAGCCUGGCCAACAUAGUGAAACCACAUCUCUAUGAAAAAUACAAAAAUUAGCCAGGCAUGGUGGUGCACGCC